rnacentral:lncRNA from 1 species
AAAGAAUCUGUGACAGUUUCCAGGCUCUGGAUUAAGAGAGUGGAAUCUUUCACUUUCUGCCUCUUAGAACAUUCUAUCUGGGAACCCUAGAUACUGUUUAAAGAGUCCGACUUUUCUGAGACUGACUACCAUACUGGAGAUGCUAGGUGUUGGUGCUCAAGUCAGCAGUCUUAGCUGAACCCAGACUUUGAGCCAAGCCCAUCAGAACAUGAGCCAUAUCACAGAUGAAGAAAUGGCAAUAACAACUCUUUAUUUUUAGCUUGUGAUGAUGUGAGUGCUGAGCCAUCAUUCUCAUUCAAGUCUCUUGUGAUUGAAAAAGACUAAAAGGCACCUAUAGGCACCAUGAACCAUCUGAAAGCCAUACACGUGGAUGGGAAUUCGAUGUGUACUCUGUUAUGUUGGAGGACAGAAUAGAUCUGUUGGGUGAGAGUUAUUAGGAGUUUCAGUUUUACUAAAUGUAAGGACAAACUUGAUAACAAUCAGGGCAUCAAACAAUGGAUGUGCUGCUCUAGCAUCUUAAGUUGGUUUCCAAGAAGCAGCUCCUGAUUUGAUGAAGUACAUGUAAGUGGAGAAUGGAGAAACAGAAAGUAAAAUGAAGACAGAAAGAGACCAAGGAAAUCCGUCAUAUCAAGUAUGCAAUAUCAACCUUUGGAGGGUGACUUGGGCUCCAUCCCAGAAGGGAGCCUUGGAAACAGUGAAAACAGUGAUAGUCACUCUCAGAGUUUCUGAAUCAGAGCAAGAGGACUGGGGUAUUUAUACUCCUGCCCUCAUCACUGGUUAAGUCAUGAGGAGGAGUUGGUAUACAUUCACAGAUACUUCUGGUUCUAUGCGUUGUUAUGUAUGCAGGUAAUGAGGGUCCUGGUAGUCUGAGGGCAGCCCUCUAAUUGCUACUGUUGGGAGCAGAGGCACACCAGAAGCUGGUAGACAGAAAAAAAGUAGUGAAAGUGGUUUGCACGAAUAUCCUUGCAGCUCUGAAAUCACCAGCUCUGCUUUGUCUGUUGUUAUAUUUCAUUUCUGGAGAGAUCCAGGCAGAAGCUGCCAACUUCAACACCUAUUUUGACACUGAGAGUCAUUUAAUAAAGGCUUUCUUUAUAAUAGUACAUUACUAUUGCUUGGUUUUGUUUGGCAACCUUUGAAAACAAAGUGCUUAAAGAAAUCCUUCCCCCAAAUAUGUAAGCCUGGUCUUCAGUUGACUGAUGUCUGCCUGGGCCUUCUCUGUGGUGAUUCUGCAGUUUCUGACUUCAGACAGACUUGGC